rnacentral:rRNA from 1 species
UACGUAGGGUCCGAGCGUUGUCCGGAAUUAUUGGGCGUAAAGGGCUCGUAGGCGGUUUGUCGCGUCGGGAGUGAAAUCUUACAGCUUAACUGUGAACUUGCUUCCGAUACGGGCAGACUUGAGGCAUUCAGGGGAGAACGGAAUUCCUGGUGUAGCGGUGAAAUGCGCAGAUAUCAGGAGGAACACCGGUGGCGAAGGCGGUUCUCUAGUACGGUACUGACGCUGAGACGCGAAAGCGUGGGGAGCGAACAGG